rnacentral:rRNA from 1 species
UGGGGAAUAUUGCACAAUGGGCGAAAGCCUGAUCCAGCCAUGCCGCAUGAGUGAAGAAGGCCUUUGGGUUGUAAAGCUCUUUUAGUGAGGAAGAUAAUGACGGUACUCACAGAAGAAGUCCUGGCUAACUCCGUGCCAGCAGCCGCGGUAAUACGGAGCGGGCUAGCGUUAUUCGGAAUUAUUGGGCGUAAAGGGCGCGUAGGCUGGUUAAUAAGUUAAAAGUGAAAUCCCGAGGCUUAACCUUGGAAUUGCUUUUAAAACUAUUAAUCUAGAGAUUGAAAGAGGAUAGAGGAAUUCCUGAUGUAGAGGUAAAAUUCGUAAAUAUUAGGAGGAACACCAGUGGCGAAGGCGUCUAUCUGGUUCAAAUCUGACGCUGAAGCGCGAAGGCGUGGGGAGCAAACA